rnacentral:rRNA from 1 species
GACGAACGCUGGCGGCGUGCUUAACACAUGCAAGUCGAACGAACUCGACCUUCGGGUCAAUGAGUUAGUGGCGAACGGGUGAGUAACACGUGAGAAACCUACCCUGGAGAUGGGAAUAACUCGGGGAAACCCGGGCUAAUACCCGAUACCUCCUCCUGACCGCAUGAUCGGGAGAAGAAAGCUCCGGCGCUCUGGGAUGGUCGCGCGGCCUAUCAGCGAGUUGGUGAGGUACCGGCUCACCAAGGCGACGACGGGUAGCUGGUCUGAGAGGACGAUCAGCCACACUGGGACUGAGACACGGCCCAGACUCCUACGGGAGGCAGCAGUGGGGAAUCUUGCUCAAUGGGCGCAAGCCUGAGGCAGCAACGGCGCGUGAGGGAUGAAGGCCUUCGGGUUGUAAACCUCUUUCAGCAGGGACGAAGAUGACGGUACCUGCAGAAGAAGCCCCGGCCAACUACGUGCCAGCCGCCGCUGUAAUAC